rnacentral:rRNA from 1 species
GACGAACGCUGGCGGCGUGCUUAACACAUGCAAGUCGAACGGAAAGGCCCUGCUUUUGUGGGGUGCCCGAGUGGCGAACGGGUGAGUAACACGAGAGUAACCUGCUCUUGAUUUUGGGAUAACUUCAGGUAACUGGGGCUAAUACCGGAUAGGAGCUCCUGCUGCAUGGUGGGGGUUGGAAAGUUUCGGCGGUUGGGGAUGGACUCGCGGCUUAUCAGUUUGUUGGUGGGGUAGUGGCUUACCAAGGCUUUGACGGGUAGCCGGCCUGAGAGGGUGACCGGCCACAUUGGGACUGAGAUACGGCCCAGACUCCUACGGGAGACAGCAGUGGGGAAUAUUGCACAAUGGGCGGGUGCCUGAUACAGCAGCGCCGCGUGCGGGAUGACGGCCUUCGGGUUGUAAACCGCUUUCGCCUGUGACGAAGCGUGAGUGACGGUAAUGGGUAAAGAAGCACCGGCUAACUACGUG